rnacentral:rRNA from 1 species
AUUGAACGCUGGCGGCAGGCCUAACACAUGCAAGUCGAGCGAGCGGCGGACGGGUGAGUAAUGUCUGGGAAACUGCCUGAUGGAGGGGGAUAACUACUGGAAAUGGUAGCUAAUACCGCAUACCAUCAGAUGUGCCCAGAUGGGAUUAGCUAGUAGGUGGGGUAAUGGCGCACCUAGGCGACGAUCCCUAGCUGGUCUGAGAGGAUGACCAGCCACACUGGAACUGAGACACGGUCCAGACUCCUACGGGAGGCAGCAGUGGGGAAUAUUGCACAUGGGGCGCAAGUCUGAGGCAGCCAUGCCGCGUGUGUGAAGAAGGCCUUCGGGUUGGAAAGCACUUUCAGCGGGGAGGCGUUACCUGCAGAAGAAGCACCGGCUAACGCCGUGCCAGCAGCCGCGGUAAUUC